GCCCUCGUGGCGGAAAUGGCAGACGCGCCAGAUUUAGGUUCUGGUGGGAGACCGUGCAGGUUCAAUUCCUGUCGAGGGCA
rnacentral:tRNA from 1 species